UACGUAGGGGGCAAGCGUUAUCCGGAAUUACUGGGUGUAAAGGGUGCGUAGGCGGCACGCCAAGUCAGUUGUGAAACCCGUAGGCUCAACCUACGGCUUGCAAUUGAAACUGGCGAGCUAGAGUACAGGAGAGGAAAGCGGAAUUCCUAGUGUAGCGGUGAAAUGCGUAGAUAUUAGGAAGAACACCGGUGGCGAAGGCGGCUUUCUGGACUGAAACUGACGCUGAGGCACGAAAGCGUGGGGAGCAAACAGG
rnacentral:rRNA from 1 species